rnacentral:rRNA from 1 species
UACGUAGGGGGCAAGCGUUGUCCGGAUUUACUGGGCGUAAAGAGCGUGUAGGCGGCCAAACAGGUCCGUUGUGAAAACUGGAGGCUUAACCUCCAGACGUCGACGGAAACCGUGUGGCUAGAGUCCGGAAGAGGAGAGUGGAAUUCCUGGUGUAGCGGUGAAAUGCGCAGAUAUCAGGAAGAACACCAAUGGCGAAGGCAGCUCUCUGGGACGGUACUGACGCUGAGACGCGAAAAGCGUGGGGAGCGAACAGG